rnacentral:sRNA from 1 species
GCCAGGCAUGGUGGCGCAUGCCCGAAAUUCCAGCUACUCGAGAGGCUGAGGCAGGAGGAUUGCUGGUCACUGUAGUGAGACCCUGUUUCAA